GGCUCCAUGGGUAAAUUGGUCAGAACGCCCGUCUAGUAAGCAGAGGGUUGAGUGUUCGAAUCUUACUGGAGCCC
rnacentral:tRNA from 1 species